CUGAAUUAUAAUCAGAAAUGAUUUAAAUUGAAUAUUUAAAUCAAUACUAAUUAAUAUUAGAAAAUAUUUGUGAAAAAACUCUGCUCAUCAACCUUCCUAAGUGCUCCAAUACAAUUGAGGUUAACUAUCCGAUAGCCGCCGGAGCCGCAUGGUUCAUCCGAAAUGUGGACAUGGACCUAGAGUCCAGCAAGUACCUAUAGUCAGCUUCAGUGCGCCACUUCGAGAAAGCGGCACGACACGAGCACGUGGCCACCGGUAAUUACAUUCCCGAUCCUACGGACCAGUCUGGUAAGCACUCUAAAGAAUAGUAAACAGUCGACGUCGCCAAAAACACCUCAUUUCGUAUCCUCCCGAUCCGCUAACGGCGCUUUUAGGUACCUCAAGCACCGGCGAACAAAGGAACCCACAGACAAUACCGCCUUUACCAUAAGGGCACACGGAGCCCGUGCCGAAGGCCUCCAUUCUCAGGGGGCCCCGAAGGACCGACAAUUUGGUUACCAAUUGUAGUCGAGAGCGGUCAUUUUCGCAGCUUAAGAGAAUAAAAAAUGAAUUGCGAACAACAAUGUUACAAGAACGGCUGAGUAAUUUGUCAAUUAUGGGCAUAGAAAGUGAUAUCCUUCAAAAAAUUAACUUUAAAGAUAUAAUGGAAUAUUUUGCUGAACAGAAAUCCCGAAAGAAACCAUUAUCGUAAUCGUAACCAAAAAACCAGCAGCAUUCUAAUAUAAUUAAUAUUAUUAUUUCAUACUGUAUUUGAUUACCUAUAAUAAAUGGUCAUACUCAGUAAAAAAAUGUUAUUA